CCCGCACAAGCAGCGGAGCAUGUGGUUUAAUUCGAAGCAACGCGAAGAACCUUACCUAGACUUGACAUCUCCUGAAUUACCCGUAACUGGGGAAGCUCUUCGGAGCAGGAAGACAGGUGGUGCAUGGGUUGUCGUCAGCUCGUGUCGUGAGAUGUUGGGUUAAGUCCCGCAACGAGCGCAACCCUUAUCGUUAGUUGCUACCAUUAAGUUGAGCACUCUAGCGAGACUGCCCGGGUUAAACCGGGAGGAAGGUGGGGAUGACGUCAAAUCAUCAUGCCCCUUAUGUCUAGGGCUACACACGUGCUACAAUGGUGAGGACAAAGAGACGCAAGACCGCGAGGUGGAGCAAAUCUCACAAACCUCAUCCCAGUUCGGAUUGCAGGCUGAAACUCGCCUGCAUGAAGCCGGAGUUGCUAGUAAUCGCGAAUCAGCAUGUCGCGGUGAAUACGUUCCCGGGCCUU
rnacentral:rRNA from 1 species